UCCGUAGGCGGUGUGGCAAGUCGGGAGUGAAAUCUCUGGGCUUAACCCAGAGGCUGCUUCCGAAACUGCUGUGCUAGAGUGUGAGAGAGGCGAGUGGAAUUGCGGGUGUAGCGGUGAAAUGCGUAGAUAUCCGCAGGAACAUCCGAGGCGAAAGCGGCUCGCUGGAUCACAACUGACGCUGAGGGACGAAAGCUAGGGGAGCAAACAGGAUUAGAUACCCUGGUAGUCCUAGCCCUAAACCAUCAGGACUUGGGGUUUGCCCUGUACGGGGCAAGUCCCGUAGCUAACGCGUUAAGUCCUGCGCCUGGGGAGUACGGUCGCAAGACUGAA
rnacentral:rRNA from 1 species